AAGACAUUAAUAGACGGUUAUUUUAAAUCCAUUGAUGAUGAAAACAAGCAAGUUCUUGAAAUGGGAGUUAAAGCAUAGACAACCUAAAUACACCAGAUACACAUUGAACUGUGGAGCAUGUGUCCAAAUAGUUGGGAUACGAGUCCAUGUCUAUUUGGAUGAAUAAAAUGAGGCUAGGAUUCCUACAGAAUUAAAAGAGUUGGUAUAAAAUACUGACAAGUGAAGUGACAGCUAUAUUGGAGUUGCACAUAUCCUGUGGAAAGUUUGAUUUCUUGGCAGAGACCCAAUCAUAUGUGAAGAGUUCAGAAGACUUCCAUGAUGACUUUGCUGUUGUUCAUCAAAAAGUUCAGCUGACAAAUUUCCAUUCAGAACCUCAAUAAUGUGUUAUCCCUUUAUACUAAGAUAGCAUUGUCAAGUUAGCUAUCAACCCCACUGCUUUUUUUUAACUUCUGUUAAAUCAUAAUAUACAUGUAGCUUAAAACAUUUCUCAUCUUUACCUUUAUAAAUUUUAUACAAUAGUUAGAUGGUCACUUGAAGACCUGUGUAAAAUUUUAAGCAGUGUGUUUUU